UAAAUCCCAAAUAAUAAAUUCUUUCAAAUUUCUCUCUCAAGGUCUGCAAUUUCAAUCGAUAUCUAUCUAAGGUGGUUGAAGAUUCAAAAAUUCGCUGAAAAAUAUGUCUAUUCGAAUAGGUUUGUCUAUUUUAUCGAUCUUUUCUUUUUUGGAUUUAAAAGAAGAAAUUUUUUUUAUCGAUGAACAUUGAUUGUUUGAGAAUGAAAAUUUCCGAAAUCGAUUUUACCUAAUAUUGAUUGUUUUAUCGUGAGAUCUAUAACUUGGAGUAUUGGGCUUUGUUUGAGGAAUGGUGGUUAGUGUUAGAUAUUAAAAAAGGGCUUAGAUCUAGGGUGGAAAGAAGCCAUUUCCCUCUAAUUGUUUUAUUCGUAUGAACAAAUAAAUUUAGAGAACAAAAGUGCUUCUUUUUUUAAAUGUCCUUUCUGAUGCAUGUAUGAACACUUGUGUUUUUGGUAUGGUGAGUGAGAACACUCACAACUUAGAAAACAAAACUAUUUAUUUUCUUUAGUUUAUUAAAAGCUAUAAACUAGUCAUGUUCAAUCUUGCACAAUGAUUUUGUAUUUUUCCUUAAAGAGUAAAACAUAAGACAAUUGAACAGAGAAAGUAGAUAUAAGAAAAUUCAAAAUCAUGCACAUAAACUUUGAUAUUGAUCUAACGAAGACCAUUAGUCUUCUUGAGAUUUUCUUGGAUGACAAAGGAUACCUGAGGUUAGGCUAUAAUUAUGGAUUUUACUAUACAGUGAUUUGGUUAAAUUCAAACAAUAGGUGUUUUUAUUUUGUUCUUCCAUUCAGAAUUUUAUGGUUUUCAGGACUAUGUAACCAAUGUAGUGAAGGUAACACUGAUUGAAUAGGUUAAUUUACUAUUUUUAAGAAAAUAUUAAGUUGGAUUUUUUUUUUACUACGCAUUUAACUAUCUAUGAUGGUUGUCUUAGAAAAUGAAAGUACUUUAUGAGAACAUGCAGCUAGCUUAGAAAAUCUUAUUGCUAGAACUUUCUAAACAUGGAUAGAAAAAGAAAUUUCACUAUGGAUAUGCACAUUUGGAGAUUCUUGUAUUUCUUUAAUGUAUGUUCUCUUUAAGCAUUGCAGCUAGCUUAGAAAAUCUUAUUGCUAGAACUUGCUAAACAUUGAUAGAAAAAGAAAUUUCAAAAAAGAUAAAUAAGUAUUGACAUGAUUCAACUAUUAGAUUUUAAUAAUUAGUGCAUAUCUCAAUGAUGGUUUAAGAAGAAGAGCUCGUAUUUUAUUUACUUUAGCGUCCACAAUGAGAUGAGAAUAACGUGUUUCAAUGAAUAAAAAUAGCUUCCAUGAGCUUUAGCAUUGAGUCUGUGAGUUUGUCGUCCUUAAUUAUAGUCCUUUUAUUUUCUUCAUCUAUUCUUGUGUGUUUUUUUUCCCUUUAAUUAUAUUAAUUUAGCAUCCCUAUAUUUUACUUGUGGUGUUCACUGAUUUCAAUUUGUAUCAAUGUUCAACCUGCUGAACUUGUUUUAUUUAAUUGUGAAGGAUAGGGAUAGAUAUAAGAAUGACCUCUUUUGUAAGGCAAAUAUAUUGUUACAUUAUUGUUUUUUGAAGUGAUUAACUAAUAUAAUUGCAUUACUUCUGUACCUUUUGUUUUUCUAGAUUUUUCUUGGUAUAUAGCACAAAAGAGGAUCAAUUCCCCUCCAUAUAGGUCCAAAAAUACUUCAAAGAAGCAAUAUAAUACAAUUGAAAAAGCAAAAAAAAAAAAAUGAGAUUGUGGCUAAGUGCUUAGUUGUUUACAAGCUUUUCACAUCUCUCUUAAUUAUCGUUGUCGAACUUACUCAUAGACAAAGUUUAAAAGGAACAGAAGAAGAGGUAUUAUAUUGUCCGUAGUUGCUUCUUAUGUUUAAAAUUAUUAGUUUGUAACUUUGAUACUAGUUGUUUUCUACUUUUUUGUCUUAUGGUGUUACCUGAUAGCUAUAAACUUUUAUCACUACUUCAUUGAAAUGUAAGUGUGUUUCCUGCACCUUCUCUUUUACAGUUGAAAGGAUUGAGUUAAUUAUUGUGUUUAAUAUUUUACUUUCUUUCAUUAGUGUUGGUUGCAUCUUUGCUCGAGUAGAACUGGAUUGAGGAAAUCUUAUAUGAUUAAAUUUCUUCAAUGAACUAUGUUUCAAUGAACUGGAAUGAGUAUCUCUUAUCUUAACUCUUCUUUAUCUUAGCAUUUUUCUUCUACUACAGGCCCUAUGUUAUACUUGACUAGUUCCGAUUGAAAGAGCACUAAAUUUUUUAAGAUUUUCGAGGCAAGUACCUACUUCCCAGUGAUUUACUCUAGAACUUUUGACCUUACUGAUUUUUAAUUUUAUUUUGAUGUAUAACUUGAAACAACUAAAAAUUACUGUUUGAUCUUUUAAGAUAAAAAGACACGAUAAGAUAUACUUGCACAUCUUUUUAAUAUUUAAAGGAGCUAUAAGUACAACUUGCUUAUAUAAUGUGGAAAAUUAUAUAUGAAGUUUAAUAUUUCAAUACAAUAAUGAAUCAAUCACAUUACCCUGCUUCUUAUUGAUUCUUUUAAGAGUUUUUGAAAUGCAAAAGAAUCUCUUGUUGUCUCUAACUAAAAAAUAUAAUCACAUACUGAUGCUACAUAUUUUCUUUAGUAAGGUACAUAGAACAAGUGAAGUAUGUGUUAAUCCAAUUCAUAAGAUGUGAUACUUUUAGGAUUUGAAUAUGAGAAAAGAUUAAACAAUUUGAAAUCUUCAAUUUUUUUGAUGGAGGUCAUCGAAACCUACAUACUUUGAGGAUUUAUUCUAUAUUCUUCAGUUAAUCACUGUUAAAAUUUAGCAUAAAAUAUGCUGCUCCAUGUGUUGUGAAAAUUGAACUCCUCUUUGUAAGCACUUGCCAUUAGCUAAAUUAAAGUUGAACAUUAUUACGUCAAUGAAUUCUGCAUAAAGUAUCUAGGAUAAACAUGCUUGUGUAUCAUCAUGAUUGUGAACAAAUUAGCUCCCUUUAUUUUAAAAUUAAAUUAAGCACACAUUGGCUAAAUUUUAUGUCUUUCAUCAUUGCAGGUCCAUUAAGCAAAUGGAUUUCGUCAACACACAGCCGACUUUUUAGUGACGAUAAGUGUAAUAGAAGACAAUCUCAUACUCCACCUGAACUUUAUUACUUUCUAGACAAAUAUGGGCUUCUCUCCACUCGUAGAAGGUUGGAAUUUGCAUGAAGCUCAUCUCUCUUCCAUGGACAUAACAGAAAUUGGACC
rnacentral:lncRNA from 1 species